rnacentral:rRNA from 1 species
GUAGGGAAUAUUGGGCAAUGGAGGCAACUCUGACCCAGCCAUGCCGCGUGCAGGAUGAAGGCGCUCAGCGUUGUAAACUGCUUUUAACUGGGAAGAACGGCAAGGGUGCGCCUUUGUGUGACGGUACCAGUGGAAUAAGCACCGGCUAACUCCGUGCCAGCAGCCGCGGUAAUACGGAGGGUGCAAGCGUUGUCCGGAUUUAUUGGGUUUAAAGGGUGCGUAGGUGGUUUGGCAAGUCUGGUUUGAAAGCUGGUCGCUCAACGAUCAGAUGUGGCUGGAAACUGCUGAACUUGAAUGGCGUAGCGGUAGCCGGAAUGGGUCAUGUAGCGGUGAAAUGCAUAGAUAUGACCCGGAACUCCGAUUGCGAAGGCAGGCUACUGGGCGUCGAUUGACACUGAGGCACGAGAGCAUGGGUAGCAAACAGG